rfam:Rhodobacteraceae bacterium HLTCCA08 ITZX_scaf_1285, whole genome shotgun sequence.
GGGCACCUACGGGGGCCUUCAUCUAACAGCCGGGCGCGAACCGCCCGCAAAGCAACGGAAGACAGAAA